AGAGUUUGAUUAUGGCUCAGGAUGAACGCUAGCUACAGGCUUAACACAUGCAAGUCGAGGGGCAGCAUGAUCAAAGCUUGCUUUGAUUGAUGGCGACCGGCGCACGGGUGAGUAACGCGUAUCCAACCUUCCCCUUAGUAGGGCAUAGCCCGGCGAAAGUCGGAUUAAUACCCUAUGUUAUCCGAAGAGGACAUCUGAAUUGGAUUAAAGAUUUAUCGCUAAGGGAUGGGGAUGCGUCUGAUUAGGUAGUCGGCGGGGUAACGGCCCACCGAGCCUACGAUCAGUAGGGGUUCUGAGAGGAAGGUCCCCCACAUUGGUACUGAGACACGGACCAAACUCCUACGGGAGGCAGCAGUGAGGAAUAUUGGUCAAUGGGCGCGAGCCUGAACCAGCCAAGUAGCGUGCCAGGAUGACGGCCCUAUGGGUUGUAAACUGCUUUUAUGCGGGGAUAAAGUGCGGCACGUGUGCCGUUUUGUAGGUACCGCAUGAAUAAGGACCGGCUAAUUCCGUGCCAGCCGCCGC
rnacentral:rRNA from 1 species